GGUAGUGUGGCCGAGUGGUCUAAGGCGCUGGAUUAAGGCUCCAGUCUCUCAGGAGGCGUGGGUUCAAAUCCCACACCCAGACUCCACGCCA